UAUAAAUCUUCGCGCCAGCUUUGGGAGCAGGGGGUCGUGGGUUCGAAUCCCGCUACCCCG
rnacentral:tRNA from 1 species